rnacentral:rRNA from 1 species
CCUACGGGAGGCAGCAGUAGGGAAUCUUCCACAAUGGGCGAAAGCCUGAUGGAGCAACGCCGCGUGGGUGAAGAAGGUCUUCGGAUCGUAAAACCCUGUUGUUAGAGAAGAAAGUGCGUGAGAGUAACUGUUCACGUUUCGACGGUAUCUAACCAGAACGCCACGGCUAACUACGUGCCUGCAGCCGCGGUAAUACGUAGGUGGCAAGCGUUAUCCGGAUUUAUUGGGCGUAAAGGGAACGCAGGCGGUCUUUUAAGUCUGAUGUGAAAGCCUUCGGCUUAACCGGAGUAGUGCAUUGGAAACUGGGAGACUGGAGUGCAGAAGAGGAGAGUGGAACUCCAUGUGUAGCGGUGAAAUGCGUAGAUAUAUGGAAGAACACCAGGGGCGAAAGCGGCUCUCUGGUCUGUAACUGACGCUGAGGUUCGAAAGCGUGGGUAGCAAACAGGAUUAGAUACCCUAGUAGUC